GUCCAGGUCGAUGAAAUCGGGAGACACGCCGCGCUCAGACCGCGGUGGCUUCACGAGCGUGCAGGUUCGACUCCCGCCCUGGACA
rnacentral:tRNA from 1 species